UUGCAGGCUCCUGAUAGCACAUUCAAAUAAUACCCAGUGCACUAAGAGUGAAAUUCUGCACACCUCUCCAACUUCUCCUGCAGAAAUAAUGCCAGUUACAAGUCUGCUUUGAGGCAAGUCUUGCUUUGUCUUCAAACUCUCGCAACCGCUUUGAUUGUUAAUUAACAUGUUGGUUACCUAAACUCUUUUCAAGUGAGGGCUCAAACUCCAGUCUUGCCAAAAGCCUUUCUCCAAGUAUCAUCAUCUGAAGUCUCUAUUACCACCGGCUAGCCACCUCUGAAUCGUCGAUCUGUAUCUUUUAUUAGCAUUUGCUCCAUCCUGGGCAACUUCAGGACGCAUCUCAGGUUCUGUCUUUCCCUUCCAGCUCCUUCUGUGGCGACGUGAACAUCCCUGUUACUCAGUUUGCUGCAGGAUACCGAGGCUCCUGUCCUCACCAGGAGCCAGGCACCUGGUCUGAGUUUUCUUAUCACCCUGAUCACAAAAGCACACGUCUCCUUAACCUACAGACAUCUCGGAUCGGGCACCUGUUCCACACCUCCUCGGAUCCUUGUGACCACACUUGUCUUCUACUCUGGUCACCGUGGUGGUUUGGGACACGGCGGACGACCGUCGGCAUUCUCGCCAAUGCUACCUGGAAGUACUGGGGAGUUAAUGCCUCAUGGAAUAUUCUCUGACCAACGGAGGAUACAAGCGGAUGGAUACACGCUACCUGCUUUCUCGCACCACGUUGGCAGUCCUGAGGUGCAUGUCACAUGGGCCUCUCACGUGCUUUGUGGGGUCAACCAACUCAGUAAGAGAACCUCUCAUUGCUUCCCUCUCCUUCACUGCUGCUUCUGGGGAUCACAAUCCCCAGCAAAGUAUUUGCAAGGAUGGGGCUCCCCCCCGUGACUCGGAAACGUUGAGGAGGCUGGCUCUUCUGUGCCUGUUUCAGGAAGUUGACAGUGUCCUGAAGGGACGACCUGUUCAGACUCCACCGUGGGCAGGACACCUUUGGCCUAGUGCCUUCACGCUUCCUGUCGUGUGUCGUCUCCGCGAUCAAAGCCGGCACCGCAGUUCGUACCGGGAUCGCCCGGGGAAACACGGGGUGUCUCAAGCUCCCAGAAAUCCCCAGCAGCGCACCCACGGCUGCUCCAGGAUUAGCUGGAAAGUGGAUCCGGUGGUGGGCAUCCGGCCCUCCAGGGCUGCGUAGGGCUCCACGGCUCUGCCUCUGAGUGCCAGCAUCCCACGGGCCACAGCUGACCGCUCAGAACGCUGCGGGGAGUUCCAUCCGUAAGCCCCCGUCUUCAACUGGUAGCCCUGAAUAGAUGAGCCCUUUGACAAAUCUCCUCUCCCUUGCCCGGCUGAAAGCUUCUGUGUACUGGGUAGGGAGUGUGGUAACUUGGAGGUGCCCGGACAAGUGGAACCAUUAGAGAAUUGUUAACAGCUACCUCUGAGGGGACUGAGCAUAAAUGCAAUUCGGGCCCCGUCAUGACAUCCAGAGGAAGCGGGGACAGGACGGACAAGAGCAGUCAGAAAAUGGAGGACUUGAGCUGAGCCCCCCGUGGACAGACAACGCUGGUGACUUAGUCAGGGGGCUUCACAGAAAGUAUUUUCUCACUCUUCUGGAGGCUAGAAAUCCAAGAUCAAGGUGUCGGCAGAAUGGAUGUCUUCUGAGGCCUCUCUCCAUGGCCUGUAGGUGGCCACCUUCUCCCUGUGUCCUCACGUGGUCUUCUGUGUGUGUCUGUGUCCUAAUCUCCUCUUAGAGGGACACAGAGUCCUACUGGAUUUGGACCCACGCUAAUGACUUCACUUGAACUUAAUGAACCCUUUAAAGACACUCUCUCCAAAGACAGCCACACUUUGAGGUUCUGGGGGCUAAGACUUCAACCUAUGAUAUUCAGGGGGACACAACUAAGAUGGAAACCUUUGGGAAGGUGUGGGGAACAAGAAGGAUUUGCCAGGAAGAGAAAUUGUGCCAGUGAACCGGCUGGCGGAGCGAGCAGGGUGUGGCGAGCUCAGAACCGGAGGAAGGAUUGAUUGGA